rnacentral:other from 1 species
UGGGUUGCCAACAAGCGCGGGUCUGGCGGAGCGCGGUGGCGCGCGGAGAUCGCGAGGCGACCGGGAGCGGCUGGACCCCCGGCGGCGCGCCCCUCGGUCGGGCCGGGAGCCGCGCCAGUCGGUGCCGCCGGCCGAGCGCGGUCCGCCUCCCUGUCGGUCAUCGAUCCGGAGCGCGGCCGGCGGGCAUGCCGGAUCCACCAGGGGCGCCGCCGCCGGCGCUCGCAGGCCGCGGGUGAAGAAGAAAGUGCAGCCUCGCUCGGCCCGGGGCGAAGAGGUGGCCCAGAGCGAAGAGGUGACCCCGAGCGAAGAGGAGGCCCGGAGCGAGGAAAUG